AUGGGCCGCAAGAGCCGCCAGCCGUCGCCGCCGCCGCCCCCGCCUCCCGAGGAGGAGUCUUCCGCCGAGGAGGAGGAGGAGGAGGCGGCGGCGGAGGCCACCCCCGCGACCCAAAAUUCCCCCAAACCCCCUUCCGCCGCCACGGCCGACGACGCCGAGGCCGACGCCGAUUCGUCGGAUGGAAGCGAUGAGGAGUCCUCCGAGUCGGGGAAGAUCGACGCCGAGGCCUUCGAGCUGCGCCAGAUCGCCUCCUCCAAGCUCGAAUCCGACGCCGGUGAGCCCACUCCGCCGGCCAAGGACAAGAAGAAGGGUAGGUCUUUGGCGGAGCCCUCUCCGUCCGGCACGGCCAAGAAGGCUAAGGCCGGGGUGGCGGAGAAGGCACUCUCCGAGCUCACUCCUUCCAGCGAGGGUAAGAAGAAGCGCAAGGCCCAGCCGGAGAAGACUGCGCCGUGGAACAAGCUUGAGAAACCUGGACAUCCCAGGCGCUGGACAACGGAGGACGAGAUCAAGAUCCUGGAGGCUCUGGUUCGCCACGUCAAGGCCAAUGGCACCCAGCCGGGCGCUCGUGAGCUCAUUGCUGCGGUUGGUGGCAGCCUGGAAAGGAAGAACGUCACCAAGACGGAAAUGUAUGAGAAGGUGCGGAAUAUCAGGCAGCGAUAUGAGAAAGCGGUGAGCACAGGCGCUCUGCCAGAGAAAGAUGAUGACCUCCGCAAGUUCAAGCUCUCGGAGCAAGUCUGGGGAGAGAAUGCAAAGCAGGUCGCUGCAGCCACCAUGGCUCAAAAUGAGGCUGCUUCCUUGAAGGGCAAGAAGAAGGAGCAGACUAGCAAGGAGAAAACAGAGGGACAUUCAAAGGGUGGUACAGCAAAGGAGGUCACCGCUAGCGCCGAUGAAACAGAGGGCUAUUCAAAGGGUGGUACAGCAAAGCAGGCCACCGAUGAGAAGGUUGAAGAAGAUAGCAAGGGCAGGUCAUCAAAGAAGGCUAGCACUGCUGAUACUCCUGCUAAGAGUAGAAAGCGGGGAAACCACAAAGAGGAAUUGGAAGGCGAUGCAAAAACUGGCACUACAAAGGAGACCGUGGAUACUACCACUCAAAAUGGUGGCACUUUGGUGAGGAGCAAGAGUGGAAAGUCUGACAAAGAGAAAGCAGAUGGAGAUGCAGAGAGCCCCAUGCCAAAGGAGGCUAUGGCUGACGCUAAAAAUGGUGGCACCCUUGCUCUGUUUAAGAAGGAAGGGAAAACUCAUGAAGAGAAAAUGGACACUGAUGCUAAUGCGAGAGGCACGCGCAAAGGGUUUGAGGAAUUGCAGAAAUUCUACCCCAACCUUACCUCUUAUGUGGAGGACAUCCAGGCCCAACAUCCAUGUGGGGAGACACUGAAGAGAGCAUUUGAGUUCAUUCCUGAUGAGAAGGCAUGUGCAUUGGAAUCCAAGAUCAAGAGGCAAAGAGUAGCUGAGUUGAGGAUGGAGAUGCGCCGAUCUGACACAAAGAAGGAAGUGACCAACAUAUUCAUAGGAUUGCUGGACUAA
rnacentral:rRNA from 1 species